GUUAUACAAAUAAUGCGAAUAAAUUUUAUUAGUUUAAGUAAAAUUUAUUUUNAAAAAAUAAAAANUAAUUUUAUUAGGUGAAAUUUUAAAAUUAUUUAAUUUUUAUUUUGAAUUAUUGAAGCUUAAAAAUUUUAUGUAAAAACUAGGAUUAGAUCCCCUAUUAUUUAAAAUAUAUUUAUUUAUACUAAAGUAGUAUUAGUUAUGUUCUUGAAAUUUAAAAAAUUUGGCGGUAUUUUAGUCUAUUUAGAGGAAUCUGUUCUAUAAUCGAUAAUCCGCGAUGCACCUAACUUAUAUUUGUAUUCAGUUUAUACACCGUCGUUAUAAGAAUAUUUUUUAAAAAUAAUAAUUUUCAAUAUUUUUUAUAAAAAUUUAUAUCAGAUCAANGGUGUAGCUUAUAUAUGAGAAGAAAUGGAUUCCAAUAAAUUUAUUUAUGGAUUUGUGAAUGAAAAUUCAUGAUGAAAUUGGAUUUAAAUGUAAAAUUAUAUAGAUUAAUAAUUUGAU
rnacentral:rRNA from 1 species